rnacentral:rRNA from 1 species
UACAGAGGGGGCAAGCGUUAUUCGGAAUUAUUGGGCGUAAAGGGCGCGUAGGCGGCUUUGCAAGUGACGGGUGAAAUCCCUCGGCUUAACCGAGGAACUGCCUGUCAGACUGGAAGGCUUGAGACCGGGAGAGGUGAGUGGAAUUCCCAGUGUAGCGGUGAAAUGCGUAGAUAUUGGGAGGAACACCAGUGGCGAAGGCGGCUCACUGGACCGGAACUGACGCUGAGGCGCGAAAGCGUGGGGAGCAAACAGGG